rnacentral:tRNA from 1 species
GCCACCGUAGCUCAGCUGGCAGAGCAGACGUUUCGUAAACGCCAGGUCAUGGGUCCGAAUCCCAUCGGUGGCUCAA